rnacentral:tRNA from 1 species
GGGGCAGUAGCUCAGUGGUAGAGUUCCCGCUUGGCGUGCGGGAAGACCUGGGAUCGAUUCCCGCCUGCUUAC